UGGGGAAUUUUGCACAAUGGGGGAAACCCUGAUGCAGCGACGCCGCGUGAUUUAGAAGGCCUUUGGGUUGUAAAAAUCUUUUUUACGGGAUGAAAAUGACAGUACCGUAAGAAUAAGGUCCGGCUAAAUACGUGCCAGCAGCCGCGGUAAUACGUAUGGACCGAGCGUUGUUCGGAAUCAUUGGGCGUAAAGGGUACGUAGGCGGCCUAGUAAGUUAGAAGUGAAAUAAUAUAGCUCAACUAUAUAAAGCUUUUAAAACUGCUAGGCUUGAGAGAUGGAAGGGAAAGUGGAAUUCCUAGUGUAGCGGUGAAAUGCGCAGAUAUUAGGAAGAAUACCGGUGGCGAAGGCGACUUUCUGGUCAUCAUCUGACGCUGAGGUACGAAAGCGUGGGUAGCAAACAGG
rnacentral:rRNA from 1 species